rnacentral:rRNA from 1 species
UACGGGGGGGCUAGCGUUGUUCGGAAUUACUGGGCGUAAAGAGCUCGUAGGUGGUUUGUCGCGUUGUCCGUGAAAACUCACAACUCAAUUGUGGGCGUGCGGGCGUACGGGCAGACUGGAGUACUGCAGGGGAGACGUGGAAUUCCUGGUGUAGCGGUGGAAUGCGCAGAUAUCAGGAGGAACACCAAUGGCGAAGGCAGCUCGCUGGGACGGUACUGACGCUGGAGACGCGAAAGCGUGGGGAGCGAACAGG